GCGGAAGUGGCGAAAUGGUAAACGCACCAGAUUUAGGUUCUGGCGCCGAAAGGUUUGCGAGUUCAAGUCUCGCCUUCCGCACCA
rnacentral:tRNA from 1 species